AUCCUCCUGAUUUUUUACCCAUCAGACCUACAUACUGGCCAGAGUGAUUAUAAAAGGAGAAAACAUAAAAUUGAAACUGACUUAAAUUAUUUUGUGAUAUAUCAGCUAGUUGCGUACACAC
rnacentral:snoRNA from 1 species